UACAGAGGUCUCAAGCGUUGUCCGGAAUCAUUGGGCGUAAAGAGCUCGUAGGCGGUCUGUUGCGUCCGCUGUGAAAACUCGGGGCUUAACCCCGAGCCUGCAGUGGAUACGGGCAGACUAGAGGUAGGUAGGGGAGAAUGGAAUUCCCGGUGUAGCGGUGAAAUGCGCAGAUAUCGGGAGGAACACCGGUGGCGAAGGCGGUUCUCUGGGCCUUACCUGACGCUGAGGAGCGAAAGCGUGGGGAGCGAACGGG
rnacentral:rRNA from 1 species